GACGAACCGUGCGAACGUUAUUCGGAAUCACUGGGCUUAAAGGGCGCGUAGGCGGGCCGCAUAGUCAGGGGUGAAAGCCUCCAGCUCAACUGGAGAAGUGCCUUUGAUACUGGCGGCCUCGAGGGGUGCAGGGGCGUGCGGAACUUAGGGUGGAGCGGUGAAAUGCGUAGAUAUCCUAAGGAACACCGGUGGCGAAGGCGGCACGCUGGACACCUUCUGACGCUGAGGCGCGAAAGCCAGGGGAGCAAACGGGAUUAGAUACCCCGGUAGUCCUGGCCCUAAACGUUGGGCACUGGGUAGCGGCCUUGCAUGGGGUCGCUGCCGAAGCAAAAGUGUUAAGUGCCCCGCCUGGGGAGUAUGGUCGCAAGGCUGAA
rnacentral:rRNA from 1 species